rnacentral:rRNA from 1 species
UACGUAGGGGGCUAGCGUUGUCCGGAAUCAUUGGGCGUAAAGAGCGCGUAGGCGGCCAGAUAAGUCCGGUGUGAAAGUCAAAGGCUCAACCUUUGAAUGCCGCUGGAAACUGUCUGGCUAGAGUCCGGGAGGGGCGAGUGGAAUUCCUGGUGUAGCGGUGAAAUGCGCAGAUAUCAGGAGGAACACCGGUGGCGAAGGCGGAUCUCUGGGCCAUAACUGACGCUGAGGAGCGAAAGCAUGGGGAGCGAACAGG